UACGUCGGGUGCAGGCGUUAAUCGGAAUUACUGGGCGUAAAGCGUGCGCAGGCGGCUCCUUAAGUCAGAUGUGAAAUCCCCGGGCUUAACCUGGGAACUGCGUUUGAAACUACGAGACUCGAGUGUGGCAGAGGAAGGUGGAAUUCCACGUGUAGCGGUGAAAUGCGUAGAGAUGUGGAGGAACACCGAUGGCGAAGGCAGCCUUCUGGGCCAACACUGACGCUCAUGCACGAAAGCGUGGGGAGCAAACAGG
rnacentral:rRNA from 1 species